AGUGAACGCUGGCGGUAGGCCUAACACAUGCAAGUCGAACGGCAGCACAGUAAGAGCUUGCUCUUACGGGUGGCGAGUGGCGGACGGGUGAGGAAUACAUCGGAAUCUACCUUUUCGUGGGGGAUAACGUAGGGAAACUUACGCUAAUACCGCAUACGACCUACGGGUGAAAGCAGGGGAUCUUCGUACCUUGCGCGAUUGAAUGAGCCGAUGUCGGAUUAGCUAGUUGGCGGGGUAAAGGCCCACCAAGGCGACGAUCCGUAGCUGGUCUGAGAGGAUGAUCAGCCACACUGGAACUGAGACACGGUCCAGACUCCUACGGGAGGCAGCAGUGGGGAAUAUUGGACAAUGGGCGCAAGCCUGAUCCAGCCAUACCGCGUGGGUGAAGAAGGCCUUCGGGUUGUAAAGCCCUUUUGUUGGGAAAGAAAAGCAGCAGGUUAAUACCCCGCUGUUCUGACGGUACCCAAAGAAUAAGCACCGGCUAACUUCGUG
rnacentral:rRNA from 1 species